GAUGAACGCUGGCGGCGUGCCUAAUACAUGCAAGUCGAGCGAAUGGACUAAGAGCUUGCUCUUAUGAAGUUAGCGGCGGACGGGUGAGUAACACGUGGGUAACCUGCCCAUAAGACUGGGAUAACUCCGGGAAACCAGGGCUAAUACCGGAUAACAUUUUGAACCGCAUGGUUCGAAAUUGAAAGGCGGCUUCGGCUGUCACUUAUGGAUGGACCCGCGUCGCAUUAGCUAGUUGGUGAGGUAACGGCUCACCAAGGCAACGAUGCGUAGCCGACCUGAGAGGGUGAUCGGCCACACUGGGCCUGAGACACGGCCCAGACUCCUACGGGAGGCAGCAGUAGGGAAUCUUCCGCAAUGGACGAAAGUCUGACGGAGCAACGCCGCGUGAGUGAUGAAGGCUUUCGGGUCGUAAAACUCUGUUGUUAGGGAAGAACAAGUGCUAGUUGAAUAAGCUGGCACCUUGACGGUACCUAACCAGAAAGCCACGGCUAACUACGUGCCAGCCGCCGCGGUAA
rnacentral:rRNA from 1 species